rnacentral:lncRNA from 1 species
GAAAGCUGGAAUAUAUAAAAGGAAAGGUGUGCAACACCACCACCAGAGCACACUGCAGGCGACACCCACAUCUUGGAAAGCUGGCAACAAAGGCCCAAGGCUUUCAUACAGCACACGGCUCAGCAAAAUUAUUAAGCAUCUAGCAACUUUGAAAAAGGAGGUGCACAUGGAAAACANCUCCAGCAUUCACGUGAAGCUUGGACAACAUCACGUCAAGGUCCUGCAGCUUCACGCGUCCAGAUCCAACAGCGGGGUGCACUUGGUGGCAGCAGUUAGCUCACGGUCCAGGUCUUCACAGCAACAUCCAGCAGCUUCAUUCCUACAGCCCUACAACAACCUUGCACACCUCACGGUCCAGUUGCUUGGAGAAAAAAAAAGCAGCAGCUAGUCCAAUACGCUGGCAGCUUGAAGCAGCACCGCAGCCCACCUUUGAUGUGAUCCAGCAGCUUCCAACUUCAUGUCCAGCACGUACACGCACUUGACAAAAUCAGCAGCAGUCCACCUAGCANCUACUGCAGUUCACGUCAUGGCCCAUCAUCAUCCAAGUCCANCAGCUUCUGAAAUGCCACGGUCUGCACACGUGAAGAAGCAUAAGGAGGUGUGUCCANCAAUUAAACAUCUAGCAGCAGCCCAGCACUUGAAGGUUGGAACGCAGAUCCAGCUGAGCCUUUAGCAAGCAUCUCCAACACAUCCACGUUGCAGCAGUAGAGGUCACAGCCCAUAGAAAGGAGGUGUGUUCUUGGAGAGAAUGCAGUGUGCAGCCANCAAAGAAGUUGCUACAUUCACGGCCCAAAGCUGGCAGACGGAGGAUGACACAAAAAACCUAAGGAGAUUCCUAGGAUAGGGGGACUAUUACGU